CCUACUGGGGGCAGCAGUAGGGAAUUUUCCGCAAUGAGCGAAAGCUUGACGGAGCGACACAGCGUGCAGGAUGAAGGUCUUCGGAUUGUAAACUGCUGUUGUCAGGGAAGAAAACAUUUAAUAGGAAAUGAUUCAAUCUUGACGGUACCUUAUUAGACAGUGACGGCUAACUAUGUGCCAGCAGCCGAGGUAAUACAUAGGUCACAAGCGUUAUCCGGAAUUAUUGGGCGUAAGGAGUUUGUAGGCGGUUUAUCAAGUCUAGAGUAAAAGCCUGAGGUUAAACCUCAGUCCGCUUUGGAUACUGGUUAACUAGAGUUAGAGAGAGGUAAACGGAAUUCUUAGUGAAGCGGUGGAAUGCGUAGAUAUUAGGAAGAACACCAACGGCGAAGGCAGUUUACUGGAUAUACACUGACGCUCAAGAACGAAAGCGUGGGGAGCAAACAGGAUUAGAUACCCUAGUAGUC
rnacentral:rRNA from 1 species